rnacentral:rRNA from 1 species
UUUUUCCUACGGGGGGCAGCAGUGAGGGAUAUUGGUCAAUGGGGGAAACCCUGAACCAGCAACGCCGCGUGGGGGAAGACGGUUUUCGGAUUGUAAACCUCUGUCCUCUGUGAAGAUGAUGACGGUAGCAGAGGAGGAAGCUCCGGCUAACUACGUGCCAGCAGCCGCGGUAAUACGUAGGGAGCAAGCGUUGUCCGGAUUUACUGGGUGUAAAGGGUGCGUAGGCGGCUUUGCAAGUCAGAAGUGAAAUCCAUGGGCUUAACCCAUGAACUGCUUUUGAAACUGCAGAGCUUGAGUGGAGUAGG